rnacentral:rRNA from 1 species
UACGUAGGGUGCGAGCGUUGUCCGGAAUUAUUGGGCGUAAAGAGUGCGUAGGUGGUGCCCUAAGUCUGUUGUGAAAUCUCCCGGCUUAACUGGGAGGGUGCGGUGGAAACUGGGGUGCUUGAGUGUGGGAGAGGUAAGCGGAAUUCCUGGUGUAGCGGUGAAAUGCGUAGAGAUCGGAAGGAACGUCAAUGGCGAAGGCAGCCACCUGGCAUCAUACUGACGCUGAGGCGCGAAAGCGUGGGGAGCGAACAGG